rnacentral:tRNA from 1 species
AGGGAAUAGCUCAGUUGGAGAGUCCAUGCCUAGCAUGCAUGAAGUCCUGGCUUCAAUUCCCAGUAUCUCUG